GACAGUGCGAUUUUUGACGUUUACAGACAUGGGCGUAGAAAAACUUAAAUAAAUAAACAGCUGAGCAUUUGUCAACAAUCUGACGUUCUGGAUUUGUGAAUAUCUCAAAUUGUUCUCUCAAUUAUUCGAAAAAUGUACUAAAUUAAUUUAUGUCAAACUAAAUUCCAGUGAAGGUGAUUGGACUUAUUUAUGGUAUUAUAUAAAAAUUUUCGAGCUUACAGUGGGAACUUACCUGUGCGCAUGGACUAACAUUAAGCCUGCUGACAUUAUCAAUUUCACCCGUUGUACAACGGGAUUUGAUUUAUGAUCCUCUUCACGAAAAGCUUUAGCAAUUAGACUUUGCUUGUUGGAAUACAUUCCAGUACUUCGAGACAACUAAAAAAAAUAUUAUACGAUUUUGUACCUUGCACAGCUCAAAUAUUGUUGAAUGGAUCGGGAUUUAAUAACCUAUAGUCUGCAGCUUAAUCAAAAUAUGUUAUAUCAAAUAACCGAUUGUCGGGUAUUUUGGUAGACUCCCGUAUCAAUCCGGUGACGGGUGAUGGUGAGGUUUAGUAUAUAAGAUGGGAAAAUAGAAUAUAAAAUUGCGGAAACAGCUAUCCCAAUAUGACUUUUUGACCUUUAUAAUGUACUCUAGACUUAUCAAACUCGCACGAAGAAGACGAAAAAUGUAUAAACAUUGUAAUGAACGUUUAAUCACAUACAUAUCCAAAUUGAUAAAGGUUCUUGACAUUGCGUAAUCUGUGGUUCUGGGUUCGAAUCUACAACUCUAAAUUGAUUGGUAAUCGUUCGUACUUCAUAUAUAGCCGAAAAAUAUGAGGUGAAGUUGUAUCAUAUUGAUGAAAAAGGUCGUUUGUAACCAAACAAAUGCCGUCUUAUGGUAUCAAGAAGAUGGAUAAGCCCCAUACAUCUUAAAGAAGAGUUUAGUGCAGCGUCAAGUUCCUGGUUCGAGGGACAUAGACUAAUCCUAAGAAGUAUAUACAGUUUCGCGAAUGAAGACUCGUAUGUAAAAGGGCUUGUGCAAAAGCAGUCGUACCUAAAUCAGCAGAGUGAAAGGGGUAGAUUAGAAGUCCGGGUCCUGUAGUGCAUAUAGAUGAGGUUAAAUCUGGCAGGUGCAAGCUCCAUAAAAAAUAAGUUGCUGAAGGACACCAGUUGUUGGGAUCAUCGAGGAUGGCUCAGAAGAUUUUAGAUUGGAAAGUUUGUACAAAAAUCGCCGAUAUAGAGAGACAUUGAUCCCACUUACAGUUGGGGUGCUUACAACUGCUUGUCAGAAUACCUUUAUCUCCAUAAGAUAAUGAUGAGAGUUCAUGUUUCAGGAAGAAUUACAUAUUCCAAGAAUUGAAGCUUUAUGGCGAUCGAUGCCUGUAUUUUUCCGUAGAUGUAAUGGUGCACGAAAAAUUAAAUAGAUAAUUUUCAAUUGUUAGAUUGAACUGUAGACUUAUUGUAAAUAAAGAAAAUACAAUUUUUAGGUUAGGUUAGGUUAGGUCAGGUUAGGCUCGUUCUAGGUGUCGUUUUUAACUCUCUGAUUUAUUUAAAGCUAUUUCUUCUCAAAUUAUACCUUUUUCUGUUCUAUUACAUCCACUUCCGUCACCGGCAUUAUAAGAAAUCUUAGUGGAAUUUUUAUUAUAUCGUAUAAAGGUUAGAACUGAUAGUAUAAAAGAUCUAUGAAAUACCGUCAUUUGUCAGGUUAGGGAAUUACAAAGUAUUAUAAAUAAAUGUGGAUAAAAUAAUUCAAAAUUAAUAAUUUCUAUUAUUAAAAAGGAACUUUGCCCUUUUCUUAUAUAUCAUUAUAAUAAAUGAGUGAGAAUUUAGAAAACGUUCAAGAAAUAUUCUAGGUUAACUAAUUUCACUUGUUUUUAAUAGAGAAGGUGAGAUAUUCACAUCAACAUUUUAUGUAAUCGAUGUAUAUCGAAAUAAAUGUCUUGUGACAUCAAACGAAAAAUUCACGAAAGUAAAACAAAUUGCGUUACAUCUACGGUCGAUUUGUGGACUAUAAAAUAUCUAACUCCUUAUAAAGUUUGCAGCACACCUAUUUUAGAUUUUAUAGUAUACGUAAUCUUCUUUUAGAUCCAUACACUUUUUCCAGCGAUGUUCAAUAAGUACGAUACCAUUUUUAUAAUAAGAAUCGUCAAAAUAGCCGUUAACUGCGACAUCAUUUAUUCAUUGUUGUAAAAUCUUUGAGCACCGAGAUAUUUUUUCAAGUUUGGGAAAGAAAAUAAUCCGAAGAGGCUAAAUCUGACGAAUAGGGAGCAUGAGGUAGCAAUUCAAACUGCAAAUCAUUAAUUAUGAGCAUUGCAAUAACGGAUGUGUGAGCUGGUGUAUUGUCUUCUAAGCAAAUGCGGCCGUUUUUGCUUUAUUACUUCGCUCAAACUACAAUAAGUUCGCCGUUUUUGUUCCAUUAUGAGCAAACGCGUCACCCUUCUAGUGCACAGUUUUCUCAUGUACAAAUUUUCAGUUAAUAUGAGAUUUACUGCACUUUUUGAAAUGUCUAUUAUGACUGCUAGCUCACACACUUCCAUAAGAUUAUCAUCCAGUACCGCUUUGUGGAUUUUCUUCAACAUCUCUGGAGUCGUCGCCUCAUUUGGUCGACCACCGAGGUGCUGGUCGUACGGCCUCUGCUACCCAAUAUUUUAAUGUUGAUAACGAAGGAACAAUCUCACCCAGAGUAGAAUCUAGUUCAGCUUUGUUCACUAUUGAUGGCUGCCAUACAAAUACUUAACAACAUGGUUCAAACUUGGAACAUAUGCUGAACAGAUUAUGUGGUAUUUUUCAAGCAACUACCGCCAUCUCUAGGUGAGGCCAGAUACUUAAUCUUAAUUCUUAACGUAAUGAAAGUUGAGUUGGUCUAAUGUACCAUUGGCAUCUUAAUUUCAUGUAUUCAUUCAUUUACAUGAUCGAGAUACUAGAAGGACAUUAAUCUGAUCUAUUAGACGAUAAAUUUUUAAACAAUAUUUUUGAGUAACUUGCUUUUCAAACUUGGAACAUAUGCUGAACAGAUUAUGUGGUAUUUUUUAAGCAACUACCGCCAUCUCUAGGUGAUGCCAGAUACUGAAUCUUAAUUCUUAACGUAAUGAAAAUUGAGGUGGUCUAAUGUACCAUUGGCAUCUUAAUUUCAUGUAUACAUUCAUUUACAUGAUCGAGAUACUAGGACAUUAACCUGAUCUAUUAGACGAUAAAUUUUUAAACAAUAUUUUUAAGUAAUUAGCUUUUGCAAGCUAUAGGUUAAUAGCAACAGUGGAAAAAAUUGUAAUUUAGGUGUUUACCUCUAAUGUGAGAGAAAGACAUGCCGGAUAAAACGUCAUAAAAACCAUGUAAUUAACUAGAACUGAUAAGCAAGCAAAAUAUGACAGCAUUUCUAACCGAUGUACUCCUAAAAAUAAAAUAACACUACACAUAAUGCUGUAGGAAAUAAAAUCAAAGCAAAACCAAAUAUUACGGUAUACCACUUCUGGAAUAACUAAUAUCGUAGGAACAUGGUUUUGAAAGUCUUCAACAGCUUCUGGAGGUGAUGAAAAUCGCUGUCCGCGCAUCUUUUGUUUGACAAUGGUGCUCUGCUUUGCUACUUAUCAACGCUACCUAUUGUUCGAUUAUGAAACCUUAAAUAGCAACCCUCGUAUAUUCUAUGUAAUAGAUUUUAAAACGUUAUCAAUUGGUAAUAACUGCCCGCCGCCAAUUUUAGCCUUUUUAUGCGCACAUCAGAAAUCAAUCACAUAUAGACCACGUGUCAAUCUCACGGUCUUCUAUACAGGUCUUAAAACGAAGGUAGUGGGGGUGGUUCAUUUACCAGCUUAGUUAUUUCACUCUGGGGGCGCUAGAUCGGCGUGGUGAUCCAUCCCUAGAUAGCAGCGCCGAGCCAAGGCUAUUUUAAGCACUUAAAACCCGGACAACAUGAGAACCACUCCGCUCUUUUGAAAUUGGUCUCUGUUUUAGCACUUGUAUGUGAGAAUGUGGUCAAGAAUAAGCAUAUCGGUCUAACUAUAGAGUUUAAAUGUUUCAAUAGGCCUACGAAUCAGCUCCUCGUAGUUAAUAUAUAUAAUUAUUGCAGUAAUUGAAGAUUGUCACCGUUAUUUAGUUCUGGAAAUACAAUUUACGUUUGUCUUACA